GUGUCAGCCGCCGCGGUAAUACGUAGGUGGCAAGCGUUGUCCGGAAUUAUUGGGCGUAAAGCGCGCGCAGGUGGCUUCUUAAGUCUGAUGUGAAAGCCCACGGCUUAACCGUGGAGGGUCAUUGGAAACUGGGAGACUUGAGUGCAGAAGAGGAAAGUGGAAUUCCAAGUGUAGCGGUGAAAUGCGUAGAGAUUUGAAGGAACACCAUUGGCGAAGGCGAUUCUCUGGACCGUAACUGACGCUGAGGCCCGA
rnacentral:rRNA from 1 species